rnacentral:misc_RNA from 1 species
AAGUCGUAACAAGGUCUCCGUAGGUGAACCUGCGGAGGGAUCAUUAACACAGAGGGAGCAUCACCAGUGACGGCGGCUCUGGCAACAGAGCCCCAACGCUGGUUGUGACACUUCUUCUCUUCUCAACACCCAUCUCACGUGAACUACUAUGACCCUUUUUUCUGCCUGUCGCAGCGUUUGCUGUGCUGGCAUUUUUCAUUUUUGAAAUGAAACCCUUUCCAAUGUUAUUUCAACACUUGUAACUGUGCUGGAGCUCUGUGUGUGUGUGCGUGUGUCGUGUCUAGUGCGAACUAGUGCGCUCUCGCCGCCUCGCAUGGUUGCUCUGAAACUAUUACGAACUACAAUAGAGUACAACUCUUAGCAACGGAUAUCUUGGUUCUC